ensembl:lncRNA
GGAAGACCUUGAUUAGCUUGAAUGGAAACCCACACAAGCAAUAUAACUGUUCUUUCUUUUUAAGGUUAUGGCAUGAUGAUGCCGCCAUCAUUACUACCUCUCCAGUGUUUAGAAGUUCCUGGAUACAUGAUUCCUCAAACUCAACUGCACAUGUUGGACUACAGACGCAUGACUCCCCAUGUGGCUCCAACUAUUGCUCAUCAGACCCGCCACUCACAUUUUCAAAACUGUGUGCCCCCUGGUCGUGUGAUGGUCAGCUCUGAGGUGCAAACUGAACCCCUUUGUCGUAGCAUAAACUCACGUGAACGUGCAAUAUCCCACAAUUGUUCUGAAUCGGGUAGGGGUACUGGCAGUCCUGUGUCAACUUCACCCAGCUCCUUGGAUAAUAAAUCAGUAACUUGCCCUGAAGGUACAUCCAUGCUAACUCAAAAUUACAAUGCCACUAAUGCGAUCAACACUACUGAUUUGUCUGCUGCUCCCAAGAGUGAAAUCCUUCAAGCUGAACAUAUGCAAAUUAAAUGUGACAAAAUGCUUUCUGGGCGUAAGAAGUUUCAGAACAAGGAUAACAUGGAGCUAGCUAGUCAUAAUGAAACUGACCUUUUGCAGUGCAGCUUGGGUUCUGUACAAUCUUCAGGGGAUGUCGUCUUGUGCGCUUACCAGUCAUUAGCAUUUAGGAAGGAUGAACAGAGGGUUGAAGCUGAGAUGUUAAGGUACUGAAAGCAUCGUCUCCCUGCUUGUACAGAAGUUACUGUGGUGAGAACUUCUCCAUCUUGUAGAACUUUGAAAACUUAUCCUAAACCAAGCAGAUCUGUCAUUACCCAAAGCAUCAAAGCAAAGAAAAACUCAGAGAUGCCUUUUCAGGCAAAGAGCAGAGAUGAUGGCAACACCUCCAAUAACAUUGACUUUAAGAUUCUGCGGCUGCCAUUUGACAUGGAGAACCAUAACCAGCCUUGUCAGCUGGAGGCUUCUAUCUGGUCAGUAGAGUCUCUGAUACCUUAUGUACCUUCCACUGACUGGAUGACAGAUAAUGGUCUUCUAACUCCUCAGAAACCUUUGAGCCCACUGAAUGAGCACAGUGAUGUUAUCUCAAAGCCAAAUUAUGUUCCUGAAGGGAAGAAUCUACAACCUGGUGCAUCAGUUAAAUAUCAUGGUCGUCCAUGUCAACUAGAGGCCUCUAUCUGGUCAGUAGAAUCUUUGAUGCCUUAUGUGCCUUCCAGUGAGUGGAUGGUUGAGAAUGGGUUUUUAACUCCUCAGAAGCCGCUGAGCCCACAGAUUAAAUCUAGUGAUCUUCUAUCAAACCAGAAUCAGUCUUCCACUGGUAUUCCAGCAGAGAAGAAUCUACAAACUGGUGCAUCAACUAAACAUGACUCCUUUAACUCCCUUGAGUCCCGCUCCCCAUACCGUCCCUCAACAAGCUGGCUGGCUGACUUUGGUAAUGUAUACUACUACAGUAAGUUACCUGUUGUACGGCAACAUCCUGACCUUCCAGAGAAGCAGCAACCAAAGAUGUCCCUUGCCAUUAGUCUUGAACCACCUCCUCUCAGAAAUGGGAAAAACACAAAGAACCAAAGACCAGCAAUUGGCAUCUCAGAUCAGAAGCACUGUUCACUUCAUACUUGCAAGUGCAAAGCAAAAAGCAGUUUGAGGUUAGCUGGAUCUUCCGUGAAGUGUGAUUGGGUUUCUCAUUCCACACUGCAGAAUAAACUUCGCUUCUGCACAUCAUGUAGAUAUGAUGUGAAAGGAAAGGAUCAUAGGAAGCCGCCUUUUUCAGACGGUUUUAGGUGCAAAAGAGAAGAGACUACUGAAUUGAAUAACUUUUACAUGAAGAGUGCUACUGAGGGCUUCCAUGGUACCCCAAAGAUGACUUCAGGAAGUCAUUUGGCAAAAUGCUGUGCUGCUUCUCUGGGUAAACCGAGUGAAAAGACUGGACUGUGUGAAGAUUGCCAAUGCCUUAAUCCCAGCCCUGCUCAAGAUAAAUGUGGUGACCUUGGAUGGCGAAUUUGGGAAAAGAGUGAGGAAGACUGGAUUAACAACCCAAAUCAGAGAAUGUUACAGAGACUGCAGAAAGACAAUGCAUGGAAAGCAAGUAUGCAGGUGUCUAAAACUGAAAGAAGGAUUCAGAAAAAAGAAAGGAAAGAGUACUCCCAAGAGAUCACACAAGAGGAAGACACAAUGUUUAUUGCUACCGGUGGUCAGUGUGCACACCCCAUGGAGAGCUAGAAGGUGCAUUAACAUCACAAACGUUCAAACCUUCCUACAAUAAAAUACCCACCUGUAUGGUUUUUAAGCAGUGAUUUAAUAAAGUACUUAUGAGUGUGAACAUGCUGUUUGCUUUCACCGAAGCCUCCGAAGGUCCAUUUGAAGUUCUCAAUUAUAUUUUUAAUAAAUACUGCUGAAAACUAUAUGCAUUUAAGACAGUGUGAUGCAAACUUCUUGAGCACAUUAGAUGCGUCUAAUGAUAAGAGUGUUGUAUCUUCUGCUUUAAUGAGAUCGAAAUGAGAUGUAAAUUUUAGAUUUCUAAACAUUUAUUUUUCAAAUUGCACAACAAAAGGC